CCUACGGGAGGCAGCAGUGAGGAAUAUUGGUCAUUGGACGAGAGUCUGAACCAGCCAAGUAGCGUGAAGGAUGACUGCCCUAUGGGUUGUACACUUCUUUUAUAUGGGAAUAAAACGUUCCACGUGUGGGAUUUUGUAUGUCCCAUAUGAAUCAGGAGCGGCUAAAUCCGUGCCAGCAGCCGCGGUAAUACGGAGGAUCCGAGCGUUAUCCGGAUUUAUUGGGUUUAAAGGGAGCGUAGGUGGAUUGUUAAGUCAGUUGUGAAAGGUUGCGGCUUAACCGUAAAAUUGCAGUUGAAACUGGCAGGCUUGAGUACAGUAGAGGUGAGCGGAAUUCGUGGUGUAGCGGUGAAAUGCUUAGAUAUCACGAAGAACUCCGAUUGCGAAGGCAGUUCACUGGACUGCAACUGACACUGAGGCUCGAAAGUGUGGGUAUCAAACAGGAUUAGAUACCCCAGUAGUC
rnacentral:rRNA from 1 species